GCCAGCCAGCCAGCCAGCCGCAGAGCCGCCGGGGGAUGGUUGCGCGCCCGCCGGCCAGGCUGCGGGCAGGAGCCGCGCAAGAUGAGCGCCGCCGAGGCAGCUUCUCAACCUCAGGCUGUGCAUAGUCACUUGGAAAAGUUAUCUGGCUCUGCAAUCCUCUGCAAUACUUGUGGAAAAACUUGCAAAGGAGAGGUGCUGAGAGUACAGAAGAAGUAUUUCCAUAUUAAGUGUUUUGUUUGCAAAGCAUGCGGCUGUGAUUUGGCCCAAGGAGGAUUUUUCGUGCGGCAGGGAGACUAUAUCUGCACUCUGGAUUACCAGCGGCUCUAUGGAACGCGCUGCUUCAGCUGUGACCAGUUCAUUGAAGGAGAGGUGGUUUCAGCCCUGGGGAAAACCUACCACCCGCAUUGUUUUGUGUGUGUGGUUUGCAGGCAGCGUUUUCCUCCUGGAGACCGUGUAACUUUCAAUGGCAAAGACUGUCUCUGCCAGAAAUGUUCUCUGCUACCUGCUGGGAAUAUCAACAGGAGUUUUCCAGUCCAGGCCCCCCAAACUUGUGGUGGCUGUGGCUCUGAAAUAAAGAAUGGACAGUCCUUGGUGGCCUUGGACAAGCACUGGCACCUGACCUGCUUUAAAUGCAAGAUGUGUGGCAAAGUCCUGAAUGCUGAAUACAUCAGCAAAGAUGGUGUUCCGUACUGUGAAAUGGAUUAUCAUGUUAAAUUUGGAAUAAGAUGUGACAAUUGUGAGAAAUACAUCAUGGGAAGAGUUCUGGAGGCAGGAGAAAAACACUAUCACCCAACUUGUGCCCGAUGUAUCAAGUGCCAUCAGAUGUUCGCAGAAGGCGAAGAAAUGUAUCUUCAAGGGACUUCAAUUUGGCAUCCGGCUUGUCGACAGGCAGCCAAAGUGGAGGAAAAGACCAAAUUGCAAGAAACCAGGACAUCCUCUGAGAGCAUCAUAUCAGUACCUGCUUCAAGUACAUCAGGGUCCCCGAGCAGAGUGAUAUAUGCAAAGCUUGGUGAUGAAAUCAUUGACUACAGGGAUUUGGCUGCCCUUCCUAAGGACAAAGCCAUCUAUAACAUCGACCGUCCAGAUAUGAUCUCCUAUUCUCCCUAUAUCAGCUAUUCAUCAGAUUACAGGCGCAGUUAUGAGGAGGGGGACCAAGAUGACCGAUCCUACAAACAGUACAGGACAUCGAGCCCCAGCUCCACGGGAUCGCUCGGCUACAGCUGCAACACGCCCCCGUGCCUCUCUCCUCAGAGUUACAGCAGACCAGCUGGUACUCAGAGUCCUGGUACCAGUAGCUGCCUCUCCCUCCCCCAACACACAAGCCUCACAUCUGCAUUCAGGCACCAUUACAUCCCCUUCUUCAAAGGCAGUGAAAGUGGCCGGAGUACUCCAAGCUUAUCCAUAUACUCAGACAGCAAAUCUUCCUCAUCUCUCUAUCCGCAGGCUCCUAGACAUUUUCAUGUUCCAGACACUGGAGCAAAAGAUAACAUCUAUAGGAAGCCCCCUAUCUACAAACAGCAUGCCUUGAGGAAAUCUGAUGGUGGUAGCGGGAAUUCUGAUCAGGACAGCAUGAAGAUAAAGUCUAGUUGGUUGGCUAUGAAAGGAGACAUCGAUGCUAGAACCAACUCACCUGGUCUGGAUACGCAGUCGCUCCCACAAAGUCCUGGGACUGAUCGAGAGCUUCAGCGAUUGCAACACAACGACAGCAGCACUUACCCACGAUUUCCAUAUUCCAAAUCUGCCUCUCUUCCUGACUAUGGCAAGAAUGGGUUACACCACGAUGCAAACAUGACCCAAUAUGAAAUGGACCAGGAUUCUAAUUGGGGAAAGAGAGAAUACAAGGUAAGGAACACUGCCAACCAUUCUGGGAGGAUGUUGAAAAUCAGCCCUUCCUAGCAAGGUCUAUUCCUAUGAAACACUUAUUGUAACAAACAGAGUUCGUGUAAAACUACCAAAGGAUGUGGACCGAACCAAGUUGGAACGGCACCUGUCCCCUGAAGAGUUCCAGGAAGUCUUCAAAAUGAGCAUUGAACAGUUUGAGCGGCUUGCACUUUGGAAACGGAAUGAGCUAAAGAAAAAGGCGCUGCUUUUCUAGCUUCCUACAGGAAAAAAUAUGCUUAGUGAAAACAAAAUACAUUUGCCAACGUAUCAUAUGCACUGGCUGUAGUCCAUUUGUCCAGAUUCAUUGUUUUAGCAAGGGAGACCACAGGAAAGAAACUGGCCCUGAGGGUAGCUUGGUGUGGCCCAGAAGGCAUUUUAUCUCCAUGACUUCUGGGCCCAAAAUGAACACACAGAGCCUUGUUUUAAAUUAAUUCUUGUUUUAAUUGUUUCUUGUGGCAAACCAAUAACUGCAAGUCGAAAAGAAUUAAUGUUUUUACAACUAGAAAACACUACCACCAUUUUGUUUCUCUAGUGUACACAACACAGAUAGAAAGAAAAUUCUUCCUGCAGAAGAAAAUGUGCUACUAUGAAGCAAAUGGGAUAAAGCCAAAGAAAACCACGUCAGACAGUCACUCUUGCAAAUAGUUGUGAGACAGAUUUUAAGAGUUAAACACUAUCUAAAGCACCUUAAGUCUCAUUCUCUCAUGUAUAUACAAACUACUGUUUCAGAUAGGAACUAGCAAGUGGAAAAAGAGCUAUCAAAAGUUUUAUUUUUGUAAAAAUUAGAGUGUAAUGUACUGUGUUGAGAAUACCAUACAUAUAAGCAGUUCAUCCUACAACCCAGGUUAGAUGAAGUACUUGAUUUAUAAUGCUUGAACUUAGUAAGACAAAAUUCCCUUAAAUAUCAGUACUUCAUGAUUCACUAGACUGUAGACCAUGCAGAAGUUCAAUUCACAAAAAUACUAAAUUUUUGUGUGGAAAAUGUGCAAUGCUGAUUGUGUAUGUCUUUCUUCUACAUUUCAUGCUGGUACAAGACAGAUGUAAUUAAUCUUGAUUCUAUACACUCACUAAUGUCUGCAUUAAAAAUAUGGGUUUGUAAAUGUUA